rnacentral:rRNA from 1 species
ACUCCUACGGGAGGCAGCAGUAGGGAAUCUUCCACAAUGGACGAAAGUCUGAUGGAGCAACGCCGCGUGAGUGAAGAAGGGUUUCGGCUCGUAAAACUCUGUUGUUAAAGAAGAACAUAUCUGAGAGUAACUGUUCAGGUAUUGACGGUAUUUAACCAGAAAGCCACGGCUAACUACGUGCCAGCAGCCGCGGUAAUACGUAGGUGGCAAGCGUUGUCCGGAUUUAUUGGGGCGUAAAGCGAGCGCAGGCGGUUUUUAAGUCUGAUGUGAAAGCCUUCGGCUCAACCGAAGAAGUGCAUCGGAAACUGGGAAACUUGAGUGCAGAAGAGGACAGUGGAACUCCAUGUGUAGCGGUGAAAUGCGUAGAUAUAUGGAAGAACACCAGUGGCGAAGGCGGCUGUCUGGUCUGUAACUGACGCUGAGGCUCGAAAGUAUGGGGUAGCAAACAGGAUUAGAUACCCUGGUAGGAUACCG